rnacentral:rRNA from 1 species
AUACUGAAUUACAGUUGAGACCGCGGAUAGCUCAUUAAAUCAGCUGUAAUUUACUGGAUCUUGAUGACGACUGUCAUUACUUGGAUAACUGUGGCAAUCCUAGAGCUAAUACAUGCCAAUAGAAUCUCUUGCAAACCAGCGUGUAGCUCUGUCUCUCCGAACGUGCAGCAAUGUGCUAGUACGAGACGGCAUCUCGCGUGUAUGGUUUUAGUCAAGGGUGCACUUAUUAGAAGCAAAAGCAGGUCCCAUCGGGCUUCGGUCCGUAGAACGAACUGUCAUUAUGCUGACUCUGGGUAAAGAUUGCCAAGCGCAGUGUCCAAGUGCGCUGUUUCUUUCAAGUGUCUGCCCUAUCAGAUGGACUGUACGUUAUGUGCAUACAAUGUCUGUAACGGGUGACGGGGAAUCAGGGUUCGAUUCCGGAGAGGGAGCCUGAGAAACAGCUACCACAUCUAAGGAAGGCAGCAGGCACGCAAAUUACCCACUCCCGGCUCGGGGAGGUAGUGACGAAAAAUAACGAUGCGCGACUUCAUCCGAGGCCGCGCAAUCGGAAUGAGCACACUUUAAACACUUUAACGAGUAUCUAUUGGAGGGCAAGUCUGGUGCCAGCAGCCGCGGUAAUUCCAGCUCCAAUGGCCUAUGUUAAAGCUGUUGUGGUUAAAAAGCUCGUAGCUGGUCCUACGGGACCACCGGCUGAUGGUGGAGUGAAAUCCAAUGGCUAUUGUCUUCUUAACUGGGACGAUACGCCUUCCUUCACUGUCACGCCGGGUCUAAUCGCUUCCCCGGCAGAUAUUAUAACCUGCUGGGAGGCAAUCUGGCUGGCUCGCACGGGGUUGCUCUUCAUCGAGUGUCCCGAGUGGCUGGCAUGUUUACUUUGAAAAAAUUAGAGUGCUUAAAGCAGGCUACUAAGAAGGCCUGAAUGAUGAUGCAUGGAAUAAUGAAAUAAGGCAUCGUGUUCAUUUGCAUAUAGAGCCUGCGUGUGCAUGCAUUGUGCAGCAGGCUGGGAUCUGCUUUUCUAGCAAGGGUGGUUAUGGUGGGCUUCAAGAAGCAAGCGAGCAAGCAGCCAGUCGGCUUUACUUCUUCUUCUUCUCGUUGUCCUAUUGAAUACUGACUCCCUUCUGAACUACGAUACAAUGAUUAGCAGGGACUGAUGAGGGCAUUUGUACUGCGUGGUGAGAGGUGAAAUUCUUGGACCCUCGCAAGACAAACAAAGGCGAAAGCAUUUGCCAAGUAUGUUCCCACUAGUCAAGAACGAAAGUUAGAGGUUCGAAGGCGAUCAGAUACCGCCCUAGUUCUAACCGUAAACUAUGCUAACCAGUAAUCCGCCGGUCGUUAUAACAAUGACCCGGCAGGCAGCUUCCGGGAAACCAAAGUCUUUGAGUUCCAGGGGAAGUAUGGUUGCAAAUCUGAAACUUAAAGGAAUUGACGGAAGGGCACCACCAGGAGUGGAGCCUGCGGCUUAAUUUGACUCAACACGGGAAACCUCACCAGGUCCGGACACUAGAAGGAUUGACAGAAUGAAAGCUCUUUCUCGAUUCAGUGGGUGGUGGUGCAUGGCCGUUCUUAGUUGGU